rnacentral:rRNA from 1 species
UACGUAGGGUGCGAGCGUUAAUCGGAAUUACUGGGCGUAAAGUGUGCGCAGGCGGCCGAGCAAGUCGAGUGUGAAAGCCCCGGGCUUAACUUGGGAAUUGCGCUCGAAACUACUUGGCUGGAGUGUGGCAGAGGAAGGUGGAAUUCCAGGUGUAGCGGUGAAAUGCGUAGAGAUCUGGAGGAACACCGAUGGCGAAGGCAGCCUUCUGGGCCAACACUGACGCUGAGGCACGAAAGCGUGGGGAGCAAACAGG